GAAGAGAGCUUGCUCUUUUUGGCGGCGAGUGGCGAACGGGUGAGUAAUAUAUCGGAACGUGCCCAGUAGCGGGGGAUAACUACGCGAAAGCGUGGCUAAUACCGCAUACGCCCUACGGGGGAAAGGGGGGGAUCGCAAGACCUCUCACUAUUGGAGCGGCCGAUAUCAGAUUAGCUUGUUGGUGAGGUAAAGGCUCACCAAGGCCGCGAUCUGUAGCUGGUUUGAGAGGACGACCAGCCACACUGGGACUGAGACACGGCCCAGACUCCUACGGGAGGCAGCAGUGGGGAAUUUUGGACAAUGGGGGAAACCCUGAUCCAGCCAUCCCGCGUGUGCGAUGAAGGCCUUCGGGUUGUAAAGCACUUUUGGCAGGGAAGAAAAGGCGCCGGAUAAUACC
rnacentral:rRNA from 1 species